rnacentral:rRNA from 1 species
GAUGAACGCUAGCUACAGGCUUAACACAUGCAAGUCGAGGGACCGGCGCACGGGUGAGUAACGCGUAUCCAACCUUCCCAUUACUGUGGGAUAACCUGCCGAAAGGCAGACUAAUACCGCAUGGUAAUGGAAGGGGAUGCGUUUGAUUAGUUUGUUGGCGGGGUAACGGCCCACCAAGGCGACGAUCAGUAUGGGUUCUGAGAUGAAGGUCCCCCACAUUGGAACUGCGACCCGGUCCCAACUCCUACGGGAGGCAGCAGUGAGGAAUAUUAGUCAAUGGGCGCGAGCCUGAACCAGCCAAGUAGCGUGCAGGAUGCCGGCCUAUGGGUUGUAAUCUGCUUUUGUAUGGGGAUAGUUACCAUACGAAUAAGGACCGGCUAAUUCCGUGCCAGCAGCCGCGGUAAUAC